AAUGGGGGAAACCCUGAUCCAGCCAUGCCGCGUGAGUGACGAAGGCCUUAGGGUUGUAAAGCUCUUUCAGAUGCGAAGAUAAUGACGGUAACAUCAGAAGAAGCUCCGGCUAUAUUCGUGCCAGCAGCCGCGGUAAUACGAAUGGAGCGAGCGUUGUUCGGAAUCACUGGGCGUAAAGCGUAUGUAGGCGGACAUGAAAGUCAGAAGUGAAAUCCCAGGGCUCAACCCUGGAAUUGCUUUUGAAACUCCAUGUCUCGAGUCCCGGAGGGGUUGACGGAAUUCCGAGUGUAGAGGUGAAAUUCGCAGAUAUUCGGAGGAACACCAGUGGCGUAGGCGGUCAACUGGACGGGAACUGACGCUGAGAUACGAAAGCGUGGGGAGCAAACAGGAUU
rnacentral:rRNA from 1 species